rnacentral:misc_RNA from 1 species
GAUGAAGAACGCAGCGAAAUGCGAUACGUAAUGUGAAUUGCAGAAUUCAGUGAAUCAUCGAGUCUUUGAACGCACAUUGCGCCCCCUGGUAUUCCGGGGGGCAUGCCUGUCCGAGCGUCAUUGCUGCCCUCAAGCACGGCUUGUGUGUUGGGCCUCCGUCCUCCUCCCGGGGGACGGGCCCGAAAGGCAGCGGCGGCACCGCGUCCGGUCCUCGAGCGUAUGGGGCUUCGUCACCCGCUCUUGUAGGCCCGGCCGGCGCUUGCCGACACAUCAAUCUUUUUUCCAGGUUGACCUCGGAUCAGGUAGGGAUACCUGCUGAACUUAAGCAUAUCAAUAAGCGGAGGA